CACCCGAGCUAGUUUUAGCUCUAAUAUAGGUGAGUGUGAUACCUUUUAACUCUGCAUUUCUACAAAGAAGCGGAAAAGACUAUCUAUACCAUUGGAGCUUUUAUCUUGUUUUCUCUUGCAUAUUGGCACCUGGAACAAGACGUCACAUCCAUUUCCCUAAUCCUACAAGGACUGUUUCUUUCCCUCAAGCGGACUUGAUUAUCCCUUGCUUAUUUUAGGACUUUUCAUCUAUCCUUCUUUGUAUGUACUGCUAUUUGUAAGUACUU